ACCUUUGGAAGAUUUGGAAAUGGAUGUGUGAAUAUUUGCAGCUGGCAUUGUCUUUACAAUGAAACAUGUAGCCAUGUGAAUGGAAUUUGUAGGAAAGGUUGUGCUCCAGGAUAUUUUGGAUCCCUUUGCAGUAAAGUUUGCCCCGUUGGUUCCUAUUGCUUGAAUUGUUCUGGCAAAUGUUCUCGUAACUAUAUUGGCACUUGUCCAAAUACCGAUGGUUCCUGUAAAUGUGUACCUGGAUUUACUGGCUCACCAAACUGCACCACCAAAUGUCCCCCUGGUAUUUAUGGUAUAAACUGUCAGUACAGAUGUAGCGGUCAAUGUGCCAAUGAUGAGACCUGCAGUAGAUAUGACGGAAGUUGCUCUGUAGGGUGUAAAGAUAAUUAUGUUGGAGUAGC